UACCAGCACCCCGAGUGGUCGGGACGAUUAUUGGGCCUAAAGCAUCCGUAGCCGGUUCUACAAGUCUUCCGUUAAAUCCAACUGCUUAACAGGUGGGCUGCGGAAGAUACUAUAGAGCUAGGAGGCGGGAGAGGCAAGCGGUACUCGAUGGGUAGGGGUAAAAUCCGUUGAUCCAUUGAAGACCACCAGUGGCGAAGGCGGCUUGCCAGAACGCGCUCGACGGUGAGGGAUGAAAGCUGGGGGGAGCAAACCGG
rnacentral:rRNA from 1 species